UACAGAGGUCCCAAGCGUUGUUCGGAUUCACUGGGCGUAAAGGGUGCGUAGGUGGCCGGUUAAGUCUGACGUGAAAUCUCUGAGCCCAACUCAGAAACUGCGUCGGAAACUAUCCGGCUUGAGGAUUGGAGGGGGGACUGGAAUACUUGGUGUAGCAGUGAAAUGCGUAGAUAUCAAGUGGAACACCAGUGGCGAAGGCGAGUCCCUGGACAAUUCCUGACACUGAGGCACGAAAGCUAGGGGAGCAAACAGG
rnacentral:rRNA from 1 species